UACGUAGGGGCCUAGCGUUGUCCGGAUUUAUUGGGCGUAAAGAGCUCGUAGGCGGUUCGGUAAGUCAGGUGUGAAAUCUCCACGCUCAACGUGGAGGGGCCACCUGAUACUGCCGUGACUUGAGUCCGGUAGGGGAGUGUGGAAUUCCCGGUGUAGCGGUGAAAUGCGCAGAUAUCGGGAGGAACACCAGUGGCGAAGGCGGCACUCUGGGCCGGAACUGACGCUGAGGAGCGAAAGCGUGGGGAGCAAACAGG
rnacentral:rRNA from 1 species